CCAAACCCUCCACCAUUUCAAUGAUAUCCGUUUCAGAACCCAAGUUCACCAUGCCUAAACUGAGCAACAAGACAGAUGAUUGGCUGUACCAGUCUGCCGGAAACAACAGCUUGAGUUCCUUAUGCUCCACCACAAACAGCGUCUCCUCCAUCAUGUCGGGUCAUGUCUCAUCCUUGACCUCAAGUCACAGUGUUCCGUCCUUGACCUCGGUCGGGACAUUCUCCAGUACCCAGAGUUGGCUGAAGCAGAUCAAGCAGGACCAGGAGGAUGAGGAUGACUUUGAGAUAGUGGAGACAGGGGGAUCUAGCGGAACUCCAGAGACAGACAUGGAUUUCCACCACGAUUUUGUCAUUUCCCCCUCCCACUCGGCCCCUAAUCUGCUCCAGUGGACAUACAAACCAUCCUCUACUGUUUGGCUCAAGUCCAGGCCCUCAGGUGGGCCCCACUGAUUGCAAGUCACAUGACGUUUUCCAGCACUACUUUGCCACAGUGUCUCAGGACUCCAAGCACUGGUUAGCCAAGAAGACAGAGAACUGCUGUAACCAGGCCUGUCAGUCCAAGAAGCCUGUAGACAUUGAGAACCUGGGGUCCUGCUUGGGCCAUGACCACCCCAAGGCCAGCGACUUCACCUGGCUGUGUACCGCCAGUGAACCCUGUAAAGAUGUAAAAGAAUGCUCUACAGAACCGAGCUGUUUUGAUAAAUUUCUCCAGAAAAAUCCCACCUGUAAACUGACCAGCACAGACCCAAUGAUUGACAAGAUGAGGAAGACUUACUCCGGUCCAGUAGACACAGGUGCUUGGUUACUUAAAGCAGGGAGCAUUCAAACAUCUCCAAAUGCUGCUAAUUUCAAUCCAUUGAAGAAGUACCUAUCAAAUACCAGCAAAACUAGCUCUGAUUGGCUGAAACCUUGCUCACCCUCCAAAGAGGCCCCAAGAGAGGGGAUUUCAUUUAAGCACAUUGAUACAAAGUUAUCUUCCUGGAUCAUGGCCUCGGAUAGCAAGAUGGGGGUUGAUUCUUCGGAGAACCAGAAAAAGAUUUUACCCUCAUUUGCACUUAAAGAUAACCAGAGGUGGUUAAUGUCAAAAUCGGAUUCAGGUACCAGUUCAAGUAGCUGGAUAUCUGGUUCAGAGAAACAAAGCCAGAAAGGCAUCUUGUUUCAGAGUUUCGAUCAAAACAAUUCUCAAUGGCUGAUGAAAUCAGGACAGACCGUUAAAUCUUAAUCUGUAAGGUGUGUCUGGCAACAAAGACUAUUUCAUUUGGGUAGAAAUUUCUAUUUGCCAUAUAUUUUACUCAUAAUGAUAUUACAGUACAUGAUACUAUGUGUCAUGAUAUAUGUGUCAUGAACACAGAUGUAGUUUAAUAUGAUAAUACUGGUAUAUUCAUGGAAAGCAUUUUUAUUUAGAGAAAAUGUUCUGUUUGUUUUUUAAUAUAUUGUAUAAUUUUUUGCAUGUACAAUAAAUAUUUUUGUUUUGAGAUUACAAUAAAUGCCUUUAACAUUUAGAUUU
rnacentral:misc_RNA from 1 species